GGGAAAAUAAAUUUAUCUAGUAGGUACCCACCCUCUGCCUAUAUAAUUAGUUCAUUAAGUUCAUCACUGAUCAGUGGAGAGCCAGCUCUAUUAGGUAUACUGUAUUUUGAAUAAACCCCAAUUUCUAAGUACAAUAAAGAACUUUCGGUGAAUUGUUCAGUACCUACCAAUACUCACGUUAUUAGUUUCAUAAACUGUGUUGGAAUUAUCGGCAAUAAUUGACCGCGGACAAUUGACCAUUUAACAACCGGGUCAUUAUAGACUCGUCGUUUAACGAUUUUGUUUAAGUACAAUAUUUUUAAAACUCUACCUAUAUUCUGUAUACAGUAUACUUAUAAAGUAGGUAUAAUUACAUUCAUAUUAACACUUAUGAUUAGUCCAUAGACACAAAUAGCCUAACUUUUUUGUUG